CUAGAGUAUACUUUUAUUCAAACAACUUUGUUCUUUUCCUCGUAGUAUUAUCAGCAGAACAAAAAACCUAACGGCAUUAUGAAACCUACACCAAGAAAGAUUCGUAAAAAUCUUAGUUCUCCAACCCCAAUUACAAAAGUAGCCACAAUACUACAAUUUGCUCAAAUUUCUAAGAUCCAUAUUCUUCCCUUCUCGGUAAAUCUCUCUUCAAAGGUACUUGUCAAUUUAAAUUCUCUGUUCAUGUUUUUUAAUUUUAUUUAUACAUAUCGCUAUAUUUUAUAUUAAGAUUUAAUUGUAAUUGGUAGAAGUACUUUGAUUUUUAUUUCCUUGAUUGUUAUGAAAUCUGAUGAAAGGCUGAACCUUGGAUGCUCUUUUAUCGUGUGCCCUUUUAUGUGAAAAGUUGUUUCAUCUUACGUAAAAAAUUGAAUUUAUCGGAUUAACCGUUUUACUGAAAAAUGGUCACAGUAGCAUGUAUUUUCAAUUUUCAUUUAACUACAAGUUUACCUUGACAUUGUAAAAAAUUUUCAACCAACUCUUUGACUUUUAUUCUUACAGUAGUAUUUUGUUCUCAAUUUCUCAAUAUUAAUACUUAUUUGCUCAUUUAAUUUCUCUCUGUUUGUAGAUAUCCUUUCUUUUUAGUUUGAGUUUAUGCUGUUAUAUGUAUGCACUGACGUACUUAAUUUUCUUCAUAAGUAAAUAUUUUUGUUGUGGGACUGAUUGAAAAUAUAAUCUUUUUUCCUAUUUCACUUAAUUCAUUAUUUUCAUCUUGACUUUACGGGCUGCAGUUGAUAGCUGAGUAUGGCAGAUUGGACCGAUCUUCCAACGGACAUUUUGGUUGUUGUCGCACAAUGUUUAACUGUGACAGAGGAUUUUACUUCCUUUACCGCUGUUUGUAAAUCAUGGCAAUCAGUGACUUCAAUAUUGAAGAAGAAACCUUCAUUGCCUACUAGAUAUCCUCGGAUCAUGCUUGCUGAAAAAAUAGAUAUCGAAGAUCAAGAGAAUUGAGAUGAUCAAGAUGCAUCGAUUCGUUGCUUUCUAAACUUAUUAACGUCAAAGACAUAUCAACUCCAGUUGCCAGAAGCGAGUGGCAGGAUGUGCCCAGGAGCACAUUACGGAUGGUUGUGGACAAUUGGCAUUGAUUUACAAAUCAGUUUAUUGCACCCCUUCUCCAGACAACAAAUUUGCCUACCUUCUAUGCUGACCUUCCCUGAUCAGUAUGAAUAUAGUGAGAAAUUCAAGCCACAAGAGGUUUGGAAUUUAUAUGUUUGGAAAAUAGCGAUGUCCUCAAAUCCUCUUAAGGAGAAAAGUUUACAUGAUUAUAAUGAGGUUUGUAUUAUAGUUGCUAUUUAUGGAGGAUUUUGUAUAUUGGCUUUUACAAAAUUAGGAGAUACUGUUUGGACCAAUAUCUCCAUCCCUUCUCGCGUUUAUCAAGAUAUUAUUUUCUAGAAUGGUAAAUUUUAUGCUGUAGAUGCUCAUGGAGUUGUAGUUGUUUGUGAGUUUGAUGAUGCCAAUGGCACAAAAGCAACAGUCAAUGCCCCAGCUCCAAUUGAAACGAAUGACACAUAUCAGAAGUACCUAGUCGAAUCAUCAGGACAUCUUCUACUUGUUGCUCGUUUCCGAAAGGGGUUUCAUUUUAUGAUGACGACGACAACAAUGAUGUAGAGGAAGACGAUGUUGAUGUUGAUGGUAAUGAUAAUGAUAAUGUUGAUGAGGUGGAGGAUGUCAAAGAUAGUGGCAACGAAGAGGAAGAGGAAGCUAGAUACCAUACAACUGGCAUUUUUGUUUGGAGGCUAGAUGAAUGUCAUGAGGAAGGGAGUAAUUAUGCAUAUAGAUUAACUCGAGUGACUAGUUUAGGAGAUCAAGCAUUGUUCUUAGGUAGUAAUGUAUAUACAUCAAUUGCCUUGUCAGAAUGUAUCAAGCAAAAUUGCAUAUACUUUACAGAUGAUAAUGCUGACCUCUAUUUCGACGAACCAGGCGGUGGUGGCCAUGACACUGGAAUAUUUAACAUGGAAGAUGGAACCGUUCUUCAAUUAAAUUAUGCAAGAGAAUCUCGUAGUAAUAUUUCACCUCCAUUGUGGUACAUUUGAUUUUCAAGGAUUAAUUGCAUUUUUUGUUUUGUCAUUUAAAUUAUUCCUUUCAAUAUUGAGUGGAAUAAUGUACUACUUAUAUUCGAUUGUUGUUCAUUUAAUUCUACACAUAUUGACUCGAUAUUGUAUUUUGGAAAAGCUAU
rnacentral:lncRNA from 1 species